rnacentral:rRNA from 1 species
AACUCCGAAUGCCAAUUAAUUUAACUUGGGAGUCAGAACAUGGGUGAUAAGGUCCGUGUUCGAAAGGGAAACAGCCCAGACCACCAGCUAAGGUCCCAAAAUAUAUGUUAAGUGGAAAAGGAUGUGGCGUUGCCCAGACAACUAGGAUGUUGGCUUAGAAGCAGCCAUCAUUUAAAGAGUGCGUAAUAGCUCACUAGUCGAGUGACACUGCGCCGAAAAUGUACCGGGGCUAAACAUAUUACCGAAGCUGUGGAUUGUCCUUUGGACAAUGGUAGGAGAGCGUUCUAAGGGCGUUGAAGCAUGAUCGUAAGGACAUGUGGAGCGCUUAGAAGUGAGAAUGCCGGUGUGAGUAGCGAAAGACGGGUG